ensembl:lncRNA
AUCCAACCAUCUCAUCCUCUGUCAUCCCCUUUUCCUCCCGACUUCAAUCUUUCCCAGCAGAGUCUUUUCUAAUGAAUUGGCUCUUCGCAUCAGGUGGCCAAAGUACUGAAGCCUCAGCUUCAGCAUCAGUCCUUCCAAUGAACAUUCAGGACUGAUUUCCUUUAGGACUGACUGGUUUGGUCUCCUUGCAGUCCAAGGGACUCUCAAGCAUCUUCUCCAAGACCACAGCUCAAAAGUAUCAAUUCUUUGGUGUUCACCCUUCUUUAUGGUCCAACUCUCACAUUCAUACAUGACUACUGGAAAAACCAUAGCUCUGACUAGACAGACACUUUAUCAGCAAAGUAAUGUCCCUUAUUUUUAAUAUGCCGCCUAGGUUUGUCAUAACUCGUAACAGAACUAAAUUCUAUCAACUCGCCUUAGAGGACCUGCCCUGGGGAACUAUUAAUAACUCAUACUAACCAGUGCCAAAUCAUUGGCACAAUGAGAACCAUUAACUUGGAGUAAAAUCAGAGCAUUCAGUGUCUGCAGCUCAAAGCACCCUAGACCUAACAAACCAGACCUAGGUUGUCCUUACCGGUUUUACAACAACCCUUUGACCUUCAAUUUCAGACACUGGAGCUUUUUAACUUUAGUCCCGAACUCUACAUAUGAAACAAUUUCAGAAUCACUAGAGACUUGACUUCCCUCAUUGGAAGAAAAUGAGAGCAUCAACCCAGGUUAGGAAUGGGUAGGAGGGUCCUUGGAGAGGACGAGCUGCUGGGGAAAAGGAGGUCAAGCUUUACUCAACAGCUAUACCCUCAUCUAAAAUGUUUAAAUGGGGAGCUUUCCUGGUGGUACAGGGCUUAAAAAUUCAUCUCUGCAGUGCAGGGAACACAGGUUCGAUCCCUGGUCUGGAAAGAUUCCACAUGCCUCAGGGCAACUAAGCCCGUGGGCCCCAAUUACUGAAGCCUGAGCACCUAGGGUCCAUGCUCUGCAACAAGAGAAGUCACAACAGCGAGAAGCCCUUGCACCGCAACUAGAGAAGGCCCAAGAGCAGCAACAAACAAUAAAUAUAUUAAACAGAAAGCAAAAUUAAAGAAAAUACGUAAUUUGUAAAGGGUUUGGUCUGAACAGUCAUUCUAAGGUCUCUUAUUUAAUUCUACUUCUGAUUUUCUGAAUUGUUUUAUUCAACAAAUAUUUGGUAAGUGCCUCACUUUGUGACGAGACUGUGCUAGGCAGGGUGGUUAUAACAGUGAGCAACACGCUGAUAAAGAGACUCUGCCCUCAGACCUACUUACUGUUUUGACUUUAGGUUUGUUUUUUUUAAGAAACUGAAGAUGGAUAUAAAUACAUGCCCCCAAAUUCUACGUUUUAUCUUCUGAAGGGUUAAAAUCACAAGACUCCUAAAACUGCUCUGGUGUAUGUUUCUACUAUGGACACUGGUUCAAGGGUUUCUCCUCUGCUCAAUGUUCAGAAAACAUAGGUUGAAUAAUACAGACAAAACCAGCUGUAAGUUGAAAAAUCGAACAGGAUUUUAUUAAAAUAUACAUAAAUAACUCUUAUUUUUAUUUCAUCAGUUGGGGAAGUUAGGAGGAAAUUAAGUGAAAAGUAAUAGCACUGGUGUCGAGAAAUGAAGGCCAAAAGGGAGUGGGUGGAACCAUACUCCAGCCCAGAUCUGCCACCAGCAGCCUGAGAAAGGCAUUUAGUGUCGUGUCCUUGGAUGCAGAAUAAGGUGGUUGGAACAUAUGCCGUCUGGGGUCAGCUGCAGUUCAAAAACUCUACUGUCCUAAUUCUAUUAUUAGGAGCAAAUGCUAUAGUUAGACAUUAACCAUAGAGCAGAUGCUCACAAUGAAAAGUAAAUGAACACUGAACUCAAAGGAAUACUUUUAAGGAAGACAAGAAAAUUACAGAAGUUUUCUGCUUUAGAAAAAUGCACUGAUGUUACUGUUUUAUUCACACUAAUAUAUAUACACAAAAAAUGUGUAUCAUAUGUGGCUUUCCAAAAAUUCUACGUUCCAUGAGAACUAUGUAAACAGUGUCAAACGUUCCUACUGCGUAACAAAAGCAGAUCAGCAUUCCCACAGACUAUUAGGAAAAUAUUCAGAUAAUCUGAAGCUACAGUAAAACAAAGUAAAAUAUCACAGAACAGUCUUUUCAUGAAGUACAGCUACAGUCUAGAAGUUCAUACUUCCCAAUACUUUGGUAUAAGUGAAAUUAAUACAAGGCAAAAAAACCCAAACCCAGAAAAAUUCUACUGUGGUUCUCAUAUUAACUGCAACUUCAGCAAUAAGGCGAUUGCACAGCUACCAAAGGUGACAAAAUGGAGAAACUUCUGGCUUGCUCACCGCUACUAGCGGAAGCGACACCGGGAGAGCGUUCACAGGACUUCCGUGAGUGCAGAGCGUCUCACUUCCUCUCACCACUCUCCUCCCAGCAACAGCCUGGAAGGCUCCAAGACCACAGCGGAGCUUGGAACAGAAGUGAUUUUGGUUACUUCUGCUUAACAAAUACAAAUAACCCUGCAUUGAAGCAGCCCAAACUAUAAUUCACAUUUAAAAAGUUGAACAUAAAUUUUUAAAAAACUGUAUUAUUAUAGUUUCUUGAGAAGUCUGUAGAACAUACUACAUUAAUUUUAAAAUGCACGUUUAAUAGACCAAUGACAGUAGUUUUUUAGGAAAAAGAAACAACCGUUUGCAUGCAACAAAUAUUCUUCAUUGAUAUCACAUAUUACUUUGACAACUGUACAAUUAAACUGAUCUGAGGAGUUUUAAACUGCGUCAUUUUAAACAUUUCUUUUUCUCACCUACACAGUCCAAAUGUGGUACUGAUUUUUUGCACUGUCUUUUUGUCCUGCAUAUUUUCUUUAAAAUGAACCCCUACAUCUGAGAAUGACAGCACAGGAACUGUCAAUGAAUCACUUUUCUGUCAGCCAUCCCAAGAGCGGACUGGGAAUGUCCUCCGAGGAUUUUCUCAGCACUGUAAUUUAGACUGCAAGCUUCUGCAAAGACAAGAGUCUUCAAAAGAAAAAAAAGAGUCCUCGGUCAACUUUACAAACUUACAGACAUAACACAAAAACUCACUGUCAUUCCUUUCUAAAAUAAAAGAACACACUGUCAAGCGACAAGCAAACACUGCAAACUGCCUGGAAGAACAAGGCCCGUGAACACAAAGUCCUCAGACAGGGAGUGUUCAGUGAGGUUAACUAGCUUAAUAAUCUUCAAAACAAAAUGAGUACAAAAAAUAAAAGACAAAACAUAGUGAAUUAUCUGUCAGGUUAAUCUGAGGCUUUUUAAAGAGCGAUUCUAAAAUUAAAGGACCGAAAAAAAAUUCAGCAAAACUGUCGAUGCCUGAAUGAACCAUGUAUAGAGGGACUGUUACGAUUUCAAAUUAUUUUAUAGUGUCAGUAUACUGUUAGGAACUAAGCUCUUGCCUAAGUUUUACAACCAUGUAUAAGAAGAAAUAAAACAAUUACAGUGAACAAAUCAUGUGCAAGCUGAAAGGGUCUUAAUUUUUCAUAGCAGGUGAUGAUGUCACAGUCCUAGAACUGCUAUGGUUCGGAUUUUGUUUGUUCUGCUUUGUUUUGUGCAGAAAGAAUGUCAGGGGAAUUUAAAUCAUUUCAAAAUUCAUUUGGAAUAAUAGCCAAGACUAUGGUAUCCUAAGAAAUUGGACUACCAGAUAUUAAAAACUUUCAGCCUAUUAUACAGAAUGAAGUAAGCCAGAAGGAAAAACAUAAAUACAGUAUACUAACGCAUAUAUAUGGAAUUUAGAAAGAUGGUAACAAUAACCCGGUGUACGAGACAGCAAAAGAGACACUGAUGUAUAGAAUAGUCUUAUGGACUCUGUGGGAGAGGGGGAGGGUGGGAAGAUUUGGGAGAAUGGCAUUGAAACAUGUAAAAUAUCAUGUAAGAAACGAGUUGCCAGUCCAGGUUUGAUGCACGAUACUAGAUGCUUGGGGCUAGUGCACUGGGACGACCCAGAGGGAUGGUAUGGGGAGGGAGGAGGGGGGAGGGUUCAGGAUGGGGAACACAUGUAUACCUGUGGCGGAUUCAUUUUGAUAUUUGGCAAAACUAAUACAAUUAUGUAAAGUUUAAAAAUAAAAUAAAAUUAGAAAAAAAAAUUAAAAAAAAAAAAAAACUUUCACUAAAUCUAAGACAGCAUCAAUUAUAAUAUGCAACACUGUUUUAUGCAUCAUGCAAAAAAAAGAUGCCUGGGGUGGGGAGUCUAAAAGGCACAGAGCCCCUCACAAAAAGUGGGGAUAUCAAAUCCCAAACAGCCUCAGUGAGGGGUAAAAAUAUAAUAAUAAAAAUAAUAAUGCGUCCUCCAGAAAGAAAGCAAAGACGCUGAAGACCACUUCUCUGACAACAGGAAGGAGGGGAAAUUCCUUGAUAUUGACCUGGUGCCUCCACCCCCACCAGCCUGCAGAUUUUAUGACCUGAGUGCACACUAUCAGCACAGGCCAAGAAAAUCUGAAGCAGAGAAGUUAGUUUCAUCAGACUCAGACGAACAGUGCCCCCCAGUGACUGGUAGAAGAAAACUCAAACCCUCUCAGGGACAACUCAACUUUCAUUAAGGCAACAGCUGCUUUUUAAGAUGCAUUCCAAAUGUGAAGAUGCUGAAAUGCAAAAAAUAUGUAACUUGAAAUCAGUAAAAUAUGGCAGACAGACAAAUAAGUCAAUAGAAAAGAUGUCAGAAAACCUAGAAAACAAAUACUGGGUGUAUGAAUAAAAAAAAGUCAACAGCACAUGAUAAAAUCAUCAAACCAACAACAAAAAGGUACAUUAUUCAAUAUAUGGCACAGGCAAAAGAUGAAAUAUUUAAGAAAAAAGUUAAAUUCUUCUCUAUACCAUAUCCUUCAAAACUAUAAAGUCAGGUGAAAAAACAAAACCAUAUAAAAACUAAAAAAAAAAAAAUGUAAUUAUCUAAAUAAUAUUAAAAGACUGCACAUUUUUAAAACAUGCUCCCUGAUCCUACCCCCCAAAAAUAAAAGGGGGUAUUUAUUUAUUAGAAGGCAAAUGCCAAACUCAAAAAAAAACUGUAAUGACAAAACGUUAAUUUGACUAUCAAAACUAUAAAUCAAUAAGAAGCAAAAAUAUCAUACCCCCCACCUCCAGAAAAAAGCAUAAAGGUCAAAAACAGGCAAUUGACAAAAGAAGAAAUAGCCAGUUAAAAACACUUAAACAUACUUAAUUUCACUAGUAACAGAAACACAAAAUGAAACAAUGAUCUAACAACCUCUGGGCUUCCCAGGUGGCGCUAGUAGUAAAGAGCCUGCCUGCCAAUGAAGGAGACAGAAGACCGGUGGGUGGGGAAGAUCUCCUGGAGGAAGGCAUGGCACCCCACUCCAGUAUUUUUGCCUGGAGAAUACCAUGAACAGAGAAGACUGGAGGGCCACAGUCCAUAGGACUGCAGAGUUGGACAUGAAUGAAGUGACUUAGUAUGUAUGCCUAACAAUUUCUAGCUAUCAAAUUAGCUUUAAAAAAUAGUAAUAACCAAUAUGGACAAGGGUAGAGAAAAACUAGCACUUAUAUUGACAGUAGCUAUGAAACUUCUGCAACCCUUCUGAAAUAUAACUUCCCAAUAAAUACAGAUCAAAAAUCUUUUUAAAAUGUGACAACUCUUAGAUUUAACAAUGCUUCUUCUAGGAAUUUAGGCCAAGCAAACAGAGAUGCACAAAAAGUACGUACAACUACAUGUUAAGAAUUUUUUAUAAUAGAGAAAAACUGGAAAAUCACCUAAACAUGCCACAGUGGUAGAUAAAUUAAGGAUUUUAAUAAAAAGAACUAUGAAUGAAAUACAACUAUUAAAUAUAAUGUAUCUCUGAAGCACUGUUCAUACUAGUAAACCUAUAUGCCCAACAGUAAGGAAUGGUUAAAACAAAUUGUGGUGUAACAGUCAAUGAAAUACGACACAAUCACUAAAAAGGAUGAGGCAGCUCUUUUGUUCUGAUAUAUAUUCUGUCUGUCUGAGAUGAUCUUCUUUCCCCAGAUAUCCAGCUGGCUCAGUUGCUCCAAUGACAUUCUAUCAUUUAGGAUGUCCCCUGCCAUUUUAUAUACAACAGCAACUUGUUCCCAUCUCAAAGGUAUUCCCCUCUCCCCCUUAUCCUGCUGCUCUAUUUUUAAC